rnacentral:tRNA from 1 species
GCAGUGGUGGUUUAGUGGUAGAAUUCUUACCUUCCAUGCCAGAGACUCUAGUUCAAUUCCUGGUCAAUGCA